AGAUUGAACGCUGGCGGCAUGCCUUACACAUGCAAGUCGAACGGCAGCACGGGAGCAAUCCUGGUGGCGAGUGGCGAACGGGUGAGUAAUAUAUCGGAACGUGCCCAGUCGUGGGGGAUAACGUAGAGAAAUUUACGCUAAUACCGCAUACGAUCUAAGGAUGAAAGCGGGGGACUCGCAAGAGCCUCGCGCGAUUGGAGCGGCUGAUAUCAGAUUAGGUUGUUGGUGAGGUAAAAGCUCACCAAGCCGACGAUCUGUAGCUGGUUUGAGAGAACGACCAGCCACACUGGACUGAGACACGGCCAGACUCCUACGGGAGCAGCA
rnacentral:rRNA from 1 species